rnacentral:piRNA from 1 species
UCGAAUGACGUUAGGGUGACAGGGUGCGU